AGCUCCUCCCCUUCUCCCUGACAGGAUACAAUGUGACAGACUGCUUCCUGACAGGAUACAGUGUGACAGAUUGUUUCAAGCUUCUCCCUUUCUUCCUGUCAAUGGACACAAUGUGACAGACUGCAUCAAGCUCCUGUGACCUUGACUGCUACAGUGGGCAAGCUGUUCUCCAGAACCAUCACUCCGUGGGGCUUCAGUUAAGGGAGAAACACAGACUCUGACUUGGGCUGCUGCUGUCAACGUUGGGUGAUAACACAUUCUCCACUUGACUCCACGUCUGCACUGGUGCCCAUGAUGCUUACUGGAGAGGAACAACACAGUGACCUUAACUUAACGGUGCCGGAGCCAGGGUUUGGAGCUAGGCGGUGUGACUCCAGCAUUUGAGCCCUGGAACCCUUUCCUUGUUUGAGCAGAGGGACUCUGAGCUUGUCAUGACUACCGAAUUUCAUGCUCCCAAGACUCCCAAUAUCACCGCUCACUAUCCUCCUCCCAACCCACCUCUCAGAAGGGCCCCAGUGCAUCCUCUGGAUAGCUGUUCAGCCACAAAGUCUCCUCUCCCGUGAAGCCUGUCAUGCGCACAUGCAGUCCUCACUGUCCUGAUCUAUCCUUCCAGCUACUAAAGUGUAAGUACUGCAGUGGUCCAGUUACAGCCCUCUCUCUUUCUGGAAGCUUCUUGGGAGUACAAAUC